rnacentral:rRNA from 1 species
UCACUUUAGGAUGAGCCCGCGGUGCAUUAGCUAGUUGGUGAGGUAACGGCUCACCAAGGCCAUGAUGCAUAGCCGAGUUGAGAGACUGAUCGGCCACAUUGGGACUGAGACACGGCCCAAACUCCUACGGGAGGCAGCAGUAGGGAAUCUUCCACAAUGGACGCAAGUCUGAUGGAGCAACGCCGCGUGAGUGAAGAAGGUUUUCGGAUCGUAAAGCUCUGUUGUUGGUGAAGAAGGAUAGAGGUAGCAACUGGCCUUUAUUUGACGGUAAUCAACCAGAAAGUCACGGCUAACUACGUGCCAGCAGCCGCGGUAAUACGUAGGUGGCAAGCGUUGUCCGGAUUUAUUGUGCGUAAAGCGAGCGCAUGCGGAAUGAUAAGUCUGAU